CCUACGGGAGGCAGCAGCAGGGAAUUUUGCGCAAUGGGCGAAAGCCUGACGCAGCAACGCCGCGUGGGGGAUGAAGGCCUUCGGGUUGUAAACCCCUUUUGCCGGGGAAGAUCGUGACGGUACCCGGCGAAUAAGUCACGGCUAACUACGUGCCAGCAGCCGCUGUAAGACGUAGGAGGCAAGCGUUGUCCGGAAUUAUUGGGCGUAAAGCGCCCGUAGGCGGGGGUGAAAGUCGGGUGUGAAAUCCCCCGACCCAAUCGGGGACCCGCGCCCGAUACUCCCCUCCUGGAGGGAAGCAGAGGAAGGCGAAAUUCCCGGUGUAGCGGUAAAAUGCGUAGAUACCGGGAGGAACACCGUUGGCGAAGGCGGCCUUCGGGGCUUCUCCUGACGCGGAGGGGCGAAAGCCGGGGGAGCGAACCGGUUUAGAUACCCUGGUAGU
rnacentral:rRNA from 1 species